GGUUUUAAGAGAAAGAAGAAAAUAUAGUUUAUUUUUCUUAUGGGUAAGUGCAUCAAAGGAAGGGACAGCUCUUCAUAGAGCAAAAUAUACAAACUUCCAAAGGACAAAUACUUUUCCAAGUUGAGUUCAUAUGAUAAAAACCUCCUUGGCUUCUAGACCAAAUCUAUUAGCCAUUUCUGCAGAAGCAUACGGUAAUAAAUUAAACCACCAGUUUAAUUAACCUCCUAGUUAUGUUAUAUUCUAAAGCUUUAUUUUGGAGAUGUUACCAAGUAUCUGGGAGGUGAUAAUGAGGGUAUGGGGCGAGAACCGAGACAUUUACAGUCAGAUUCUCUAAAGAACUGACUGGACUGUACAGGCACAGGGAAGCCCCAAAAUCAAAGGCCAGAAUCUAGCCAUUCCUCCAAGUCUUAGGACACUUAUAGAAAAACACACGUUUUCUUGGAAGUUUGAUAAGCAAAAUGCUAAAAAAAAAAAAAAAAGUCCCCUAUUUUUCUGAGUAGGCUGAAGAUGUAUUUGUUUUCCAAAAUGAGUAACGCCAUCAAUAAAUUGUUAAUAACAACUCUCUGUAUAGUAGAUCCUAUGGAUUCGGCCCUGUCCUUGCCACUCUUCAUUUAAUUUAUAGCUAAUCCUCUGUAAGGAAAUGCCAGUUCAUAUAGGUCACCUGCUUGAGGAUUUAAAGCCAGGUGUGUGGUUCUAAAGUCAUUGUUCACCACUUUCUGCAGUGCAGACAUUGCUUCUUUGUUCGUUUCCAUCACAAUGACAAAACAGUUGUGGCCCCAUGGUGUGGGAAAGAGGAAAAAUGUAAUUUUCGGCAUUCCUCAACUAGUGGCCUGUAGUAAUUUCCAUUGUUACCUAUAAUUACACUUGUUUUGUGCAGCCUGAAAGGGAAGAAUGAUCUUUAGGUUUUUAAAAGGUUCUUAAAAAAAACAAAAUAAUAACAACGGCAAAUACACAGCAGAGACCUCUAUGGCCCCAAAGGCCUGGACUAUUUACUAUGCAGCCCUUCAUGGAGUCUACCCACCCCGUAUUGCACAAACAAGACUUUUGAUUCUCUUUUCAAAUGUUUGAAGAACUGAUUUUGAGAAAGGCAGGAGAAACAAAGGCACAUUCAUUUUUGAACAGAAAAGUGCUUAUUCUUUUGUAUCUUCAAUUAGCUGCAGCAAACUUGAUUCACUCUGACAUUCAUUGAGCACCUACUGUGUACAACACUUUACAGGGAUUAAAAGGAAAACUCAACUCUAAGACAUAAAAAUCACUGUAAUCCAAGUCAAAAUGUGACAUUAUAAAAAAUUACUCAGGGCUAAAGAGCAAAAAAGUAGGUAGGUGUUACUUGGGGCUGUGGAUCCAAGAUUUAAUAAUCACAAUUUCAGCUCUCCCAGAAAUGGAAUCUUAAACCAGUCAAUCAGGAGUCACCUGAUCAGCACUAGUGAGGUCACCUGUCUGAGACCCCUGCCCUCCCCUAAAGGAAAGUGACCUUACUGCGACCAAGCCACUUCUUGCUAGUAUAACUUCCUCGUCCCUCCUCCCUUCCGCCUAUGAAAGUCUUUCAUUUUGUAAAGCUCCUCAGAGUGCCUUUCUCCCUGCUAGAUAAGAUGUGCCUGGUUCAUGAGCUGUUGAAUAAAGCCAUAAGGGCUUUAAAAUUUACUCAGGUGCAUUUUGUUUGUUACCACAGGCAAGAGCAGGGCUGCAGAGGUGGUAGUGAGGUCUCCAAGUUCGGGCCAGGUAGGGAUGCUGUCGGUGUGGGUGGACAUGCAGAGGGCCACAACUCUGUAGUGUAAGCCUCCUCUGCUCAGGUGCUCUGGGAAAACACUCCUGUGGGAAACCUUAAAUAAAAGGGAAGAUACUGUGAAAACCUCUUUGUCUGGGACCAGAAGCCAGAAAUGGAAAGUAACCAGGACGCGGGCAGGUUUGCUCUCUCCUCUCCCUAACGAGUCACAAGGUCUGUCUACCAAGGUGCCUCUACUCCCCGCUGGGCAUCUUCUCACUUUCCCUUUCCCUUUUAACUCUGCUCUUGGUUUUCUGCUCAUGAGGGAAGGGAUCAGUCAGAGCACUUCCUCAGUCAGGUACAGGGCUGCCUUAAGCGUCCACGAUAGGAAAUCUAGCUGUUGAGGCUGGAUACCGGUCCCUUCACUCCACAGCAAGUGUCAGCCACAUGUGUAAACAAGGGUAGGGAUGCGAGGAAUCCAGAGUUCCUUCUUGGAAAGGGUGUCUCCAGUUGCAAUUUUCAUAGUGAAGAUUUAGGAAGCAGUUGGUAAGGUCUGGACUUAAACUUUACACGUACACUACUUGUGUCGAAUGCUAAGAAUUUGGUCUUUAUAACCAGAAGUCGGGAAGCCACAGGAGAUGUCUGGGCAAUGUAUUGAUGGCAACAAGCUAUGAUUAUUAAAAAGAUGAUUCUGGUGGCGGUGGAUAUGGUGAAAAAAGUCGGUUCAAGCGGAGGAUCAGGGCCUGAAUUUUUCCAGUAGUUGCGGCCAGGGGGAGGAUUUUUCUUUUUUUUCCCCUCCCAAGAGGUAUUAAAAUAGGACUCGGUAGUGGCUGGCUCUUGACCGUGGGCGGCGGCGGGUCGCUGAGGAUUCGGCCAGGAGCUGCGCUUGGCACCCAGUGGGUGGCGGAGCUCACAGCCAGGGCUCCAGGGGCGCCGCGGGGAUGGGUCUGGAACGAGACCGGGGAGCUGGGUCGGACGACAAGGGGACUACAGCAGGCAAGGGGAGCCGCCGGGAGGAACGACGUUCCCGGAGGAAGAACGGGCCGCUGGCGCCGAAAGCCGCGACGAGGCGCUGAAGUGCAUCAGGCGUGGCCGGAGGAAACGCUCGGUGUCCCAUUCGCUGCGCGGGGCGUCGGGAACUGCAGCGCUCCCUUCUCGUCCGGCAAGGACGGCGCCGCUCCCUCCAGUUAUAAAUCCCGCACUUGCCCAUCCCGGUACCGGUCCUUUGUGUCCUGG
rnacentral:lncRNA from 1 species